rnacentral:lncRNA from 1 species
GUAGACUCUGCAGUUUGCGAUCGUUGGACCUAUAUUUCUAGCUGAAACUCACACAACGUUGUACUCCAAUCAAAAUCAAAACAAAACAAAAUGAAAAAAACCAACCGUAUCCUGGCUGAUACCCAGAGCUGCCUUACUUGAGCAGUAGAGCUCCUGUGAUUGGCGUUGUGUUGAAGGAAAAAAUGUCCUAUUUGUCUCCUUCUUACCAUGGUCUAUAUCAGCUUCCUUUGUUUUUUUGUUGCUGUUGUUCAGUCACUAAGUCAUGUCUGACUCUUUAAAUAUCGAUGGAAAUCUCCUCUGUCCAUGGGGUUCUCCAGAUAAGAAUUCUGGAGUGGGUAGCCAUUCCCUUCUCCAGGGGAACUUCCUAACCCAGGGAUCAAACCUGUGUCUCCCAAAUUGCAGGCAGAUUCUUACUGCCUGAGCAGCUAGGGAAGCCUAUCACCUUCCUUAAGAAAAGCAAAUUGACAUUGACCGAAUCAGUAGAAGGAGACUCUCCACAGGAGACAGAGCUGUCUUACCCUUCUUCCCUGCAAUGUGCUUUCCCAUUGCUAACCAAUCAUGGCUGCCACUGCCACCCUGGUCUCAGGCUUGCUCAUCAAAGCACUGGUCCAAGUCUUCAGUACUAAUUUCUCCUUGGCUACUAGUUCUCAAACCGUGGUUCAUGAGUGUGUAUUCUUCUAAGAAAGUCUCUCAGUCAUGUGCGGCUCUUUGUGACCCCAUGGACUGCAGCACACCAGGCUCCUCUGUCCAUGGGGAUUCUCCAAGCAAGAAUACUGGAGUUGCCAUGCCCUUCUCAAGAGGAUCUUCCCAACACAGGGAUUGAACUCAGGUCUCUGACAUUGAAGGUGGAUUCUUUGCCAUCUGAGCCACCAGGGAAACCCAAUUAAUUAUAUGUAUUAUAUGUAUAUAUGUAUUAUAGAUGGAAUAAUUCAGUCAACUAUUUUUCUUAUUUUAAACUCAAUACUUUGAUUCUAUAAAUCUGAGUUUAAAAGAUUUAGGAAUGCAGCUUAAGCUAUCCAGAGAAGAAAGAAAUUUAGUGUCUCAUUCUAUUACUGGGAGUCCGUUUCCGAGCAUUAUUUAAAACAUACUUUUCAAAUAUAAACCUGGAUCUUUUUAAUAAAAUCACUUAAAAUUGAAUGACAAAGGUUUCAUUUUCCAUACCAAAAAACCCAGAAAAUGCUGUAAAGCAGCACAUUUGCCAGGAUUUACGCUGUUGGCUUUGGUUUUCCUUUGAUUCUUGUAAGAGUUGUUAAUCCUGAUUGAAAAAAAAC